GGAAUAUUGCGCAAUGGGGGGAACCCUGACGCAGCAACGCCGCGUGAAGGAGGAAGUAUUUCGGUAUGUAAACUUCUAUCAGCAGGGAAGAAGGAAGUGACGGUACCUGCAUAAGAAGCCCCGGCUAAUUACGUGCCAGCAGCCGCGGUAAUACGUAAGGGGCAAGCGUUAUCCGGAUUUACUGGGUGUAAAGGGAGCGUAGACGGCGGUGCAAGCCAGAUGUGAAAGCCCGGGGCUCAACCCCGGGACUGCAUUUGGAACUGUAUGGCUGGAGUGUCGGAGAGGCAGGCGGAAUUCCUAGUGUAGCGGUGAAAUGCGUAGAUAUUAGGAGGAACACCAGUGGCGAAGGCGGCCUGCUGGACGAUGACUGACGUUGAGGCUCGAAAGCGUGGGGAGCAAACAG
rnacentral:rRNA from 1 species